rnacentral:rRNA from 1 species
UACGGAGGGUGCAAGCGUUAUCCGGAUUUACUGGGUUUAAAGGGUGUGUAGGCGGGCUAUUAAGUCAGCGGUGAAAUCUCCGGGCUCAACCUGGAAACUGCCAUUGAUACUAUUAGUCUUGAAUUUUGUUGAGGUAGGCGGAAUAAGUCAUGUAGCGGUGAAAUGCAUAGAUAUGACUUAGAACACCAAUUGCGAAGGCAGCUUGCUAAACAAAUAUUGACGCUGAGGCACGAAAGCGUGGGGAGCAAACAGG